rnacentral:ncRNA from 1 species
UGGAGAGAAUAUAUUUAUUUUUAUUCAUUUUUCUCUCACUUAGAAAUUGUCCCUAUCUACUAUCUAGCGAAACCACAGCCAAGGGAACGGGCUUGGAAAAAUCAGCGGGGAAAGAAGACCCUGUUGAGCUGACU